rnacentral:rRNA from 1 species
AGCGUUGUCCGGAAUUACUGGGCGUAAAGCGCGCGUAGGCGGCUACUCAAGUCGGGGGUGAAAGCCCGGGGCUCAACCCCGGAACUGCCCUCGAAACUAGGUGGCUAGAAUCUUGGAGAGGUCAGUGGAAUUCCGAGUGUAG